UAGGGAAUUGUUCGCAAUGGGCGAAAGCCUGACGACGCAACGCCGCGUGGAGGAUGAAGACCUUCGGGUCGUAAACUCCUUUCGACCGAGAUGAAUACCCGCAGACCUAAUACGUCGGUGGCCUGACAGUAUCGAGGGAAGAAGCCCCGGCUAACUCCGUGCCAGCAGCCGCGGUAAUACGGGGGGGGCAAGCGUUGUUCGGAAUUACUGGGCGUAAAGCGCACGUAGGCGGCUUUGCAAGUUAGAGGUGAAAGCCCGGAGCUCAACUCCGGAAUUGCCUUUAAAACUGCAUCGCUAGAAUUGUGGAGAGGUGAGUGGAAUUCCGAGUGUAGAGGUGAAAUUCGUAGAUAUUCGGAAGAACACCAGUGGCGAAGGCGACUCACUGGACACAUAUUGACGCUGAGGUGCGAAAGCGUGGGGAGCAAA
rnacentral:rRNA from 1 species